UUUCGUUGGGGACGAAAGAGGAUAGCUCGGGUCGGCUCGAGCUGUUUCGACCUAAUUUAAAAACUUUUGUUCGGUCCCCGAGACGUCUCCGCGACUAAUGCGAGACGUCUCGCCGGGGGGACGUCUCUGUGAUUUGCCAGAGACGUCUCCGGCACUGAAAAAUUUCAGACUGAUUUCCAUAUUUUUCCAAUUUAUUUUAUUCAACCACAAUAAUCAGUGUGAUUUCUUUUGGUGAAUAUAGAGUGAGUUUGCUUGUGAUCCUUCCCUUCAAUAAUACAUCCUACAAAAGUUUUUGUAAUGAUUUUUGAAUUCAUCAAUAUUGAAAUGAGGAAUGUUUGACCAAGUUUCGAAUGCCUAUGACAUAGGCACUGAAAAUAUCUCCAUGAAGAGUCCAAGGGAGGGUAACCAUCCUCCGGAAAGUCAAACAAUUCAUCAUCUAACUUUGAUAGAUUUAUGUUUUCACUUAUUAGAUACUAGGUUUGCUAUUUGUCACCUUGAAGUGGAUUAUUAGUUUGAGUAGCAAGGCAUUGCAUUACAAGUUCAAUUUAUUUGCUAGGAUCAUACAAGCACAAGGCAUUCCUUAGAA
rnacentral:lncRNA from 1 species